GACGAACGCUGGCGGCGUGCUUAACACAUGCGAGUCGAACGGAAAGGCCCUGCUUUUGUGGGGUGCUCGAGUGGCGAACGGGUGAGUAACACGUGAGUAACCUGCCCUUGACUUUGGGAUAACUUCAGGAAACUGGGGCUAAUACCGGAUAGGAGCUCCUGCUGCAUGGUGGGGGAUGGAAAGAUUCGGCGGUUGGGGAUGGACUCGCGGCUUAUCAGCUUGUUGGUGGGGUAGGGGCUGACCAAGGCUUUGACGGGUAGCCGGCCUGGGAGGGUGACCGGCCACAUUGGGACUGAGGUACGGCCCAGACGCCUACGGGAGGCAGCAGUGGAGAAUAUUGCACAAUGGGCGGAAGCCAGAGGCAGCAACGCCGCGUGCGGGAUGCCGGGCUUCGGGUUGUAAACCGCUUUCGCCUGUGACAAAGCGGGAGUGACGGUAAUGGGUAAAGAAGCACCGGCUAACUACGUG
rnacentral:rRNA from 1 species